AACCGUUCAAAUCGGUGGAAAUCAGGUCCAAGGUCUCCCUUCCCACCUUGGGGGAGCCCUGGCCAUUUCAGUGCCACUCCAAAGGUCCCCAGAGUGCCCUUUGUGACAGUUCGGCAGCUGGGUGGGGAUCUCUGCCCAGCUUUGGGGGUGGGAAAUCCCGACAGGAACCAGCACAUCCCCUUCAGCCUCCCCAUCUGCAUUUCCGGGGUGAGUCAUCAGAGGAUUGGGAGGAAAGGCCCCUCCUAUUGGCAGCACCCAGCCUGGGGGUGGGGGAGGAUCCCUGCCAGCCCUAUUCCCCUCACCCCCAAUCACAUGGGAUUAGAUCAGACCAGAGGGUGGCUCUGGGUCUCCUGACAGGCCUUCACCAGGAACCACACAGUCUUGGUCUCCCAUCUGGCUCCUCCCCAGCCCCAUCACAUCCAUUCUGAUGAGGAUUCCAGUAGGAGAAAAGGGAAGAGGGGAGGUAGAUGGAUGGCUUUAGGUUGCUGGAAUUAUUUUAGAUGCGUCACUUCCCUUCCUCCACUUCUCCCCACCCCCCAACCUUCCUAAGAGGCAGCUCAAAGUGCUACUUAAGCACUGGGCUUUUUGAGGAGUAGGGGGUGGCACCUGGAGACCUGCUCUUCACCUCCCAGUGGGAAAGAGGGGAGGAGAGAGGAGGAAGACAUGAAAGGAAGAUCCUAGACCAGUGUCUGACUUGGUUACUCCAGCUCAGGAAACAUGCCAGGGGUUGGAGAGCAGAACGCCUGCCUCAGAACAGAGGAGUUCAGCUGCUGGGCAGAGCAAGGCAGCCUGGGACAAGAACCUUCCACACCUGAUUGCGUUUGGUUUCCAGGCAACCUGAGUGUAAGUCACUGGCUUCUGUUUUGGGACAGAGCACUGAGCAGGAGAGAGAAAGAGAGAGAGAGAAAGAGAGAUGCACAGAGAAGUCCAGGAACUUGUGGCUACUUCCCUCCCCGACAUCCCCACCCUCCAUCCUGUCACCACCACGGGGACAGAGCUGGUGAUGGGUGUCUGCACUGUUUCGUACUGAAAUAAACCUGAAUUGGAGUUACCGA